AUCUAGGUGGUGCAGUGGGUAGCACUGUAGGUGCCUCACUGCAUGAAGGUCCUAGGUUCAAGUCCUGGCCUGGGCC
rnacentral:tRNA from 1 species